CCUACGGGAGGCUGCAGUGAGGAAUAUUGGUCAAUGGCCGGAAGGCUGAACCAGCCAAGUCGCGUGAGGGACGACUGCCCUAUGGGUUGUAAACCUCUUUUAUAAGGGAAGAAUAAAUGCUACGUGUAGCAUGAUGCCUGUACCUUAUGAAUAAGCAUCGGCUAACUCCGUGCCAGCAGCCGCGGUAAUACGGAGGAUGCGAGCGUUAUCCGGAUUUAUUGGGUUUAAAGGGUGCGUAGGCGGUUUUUUAAGUUAGUGGUAAAACGUCGGGGCUUCACCUUGAAUUGCCAUUAAUACUGUAAGACUCGAGUUCAGACGAGGUAGGCGGAAUAAGUUAAGUAGCGGUGAAAUGCUUAGAUAUAACUUAGAACUCCGAUAGCGAAGGCAGCUUACCAGACUGCGACUGACGCUGAAGCACGAGAGCGUGGGUAGCGAACAGGAUUAGAUACCCGAGUAGUC
rnacentral:rRNA from 1 species